rnacentral:rRNA from 1 species
AUUGAACGCUGGCGGCAUGCCUUACACAUGCAAGUCGAACGGUAACAGGUCUUCGGAUGCUGACGAGUGGCAACGGGUGAGUAAUACAUCGGAACGUGCCUAGUAGUGGGGGAUAACUACUCGAAAGAGUGGCUAAUACCGCAUGAGAUCUACGGAAGAAAGCAGGGGAUCGCAAGACCUUGUGCUACUAGAGCGGGCGAUGGAAGAUUAGGUAGUUGGUGGGAUAAAAGCUUACCAAGCCGACGAUCUGUAGCUGGUCUGAGAGGACGAUCAGCCACACUGGGACUGAGACACGGCCCAGACUCCUACGGGAGGCAGCAGUGGGGAAUUUUGGACAAUGGGCGAAAGCCUGAUCCAGCAAUGCCGCGUGCAGGAUGAAGGCCUUCGGGUUGUAAACUGCUUUUGUACGGAACGAAAAGCUCUGGGUUAAUACCCUGGGGUCAUGACGGUACCGUAAGAAUAAGCACCGGCUAACUACGUGCCAGCCGCCGCGGUAACAC